rnacentral:rRNA from 1 species
UGAAUACGAGACGCUAAGGCGUCGAAGUAGUGUAUGUCAUACUUCCAAGAAAAGCUUGCACUGUCAUAGAUAAAAAACGCCUGUACCAUAACCGACACAGGUGGGUAGGUAGAGUAUACUAAGGGGCGCGAGAUAACUCUCUCUAAGGAACUCGGCAAAAUAACUCCGUAACUUCGGGAGAAGGAGUGCCUUAUUCGUAAGGUUGCAAUAACAAGAUCCAAGCAACUGUUUAUCAAAAACACAGGUCUCCGCUAAGUCGUAAGACGAUGUAUGGGGGCUGACGCCUGCCCAGUGCCAGAAGGUUAAAGAAGUUGGUUAGCAAUUGCGAAGCUGAUAACUGAAGCCCUGGUGAACGGCGGCCGUAACAAUAACGGUCCUAAGGUAGCGAAAUUCCUUGUCGGGUAAGUUCCGACCCGCACGAAAGGCGUAAUGAUUUGGAUACUGUCUCGGAGAGGGGCUCGGUGAAAUAGACUUGUCUGUGAAGAUGCGGACUACCUGCACCAGGACAGAAAGACCCUAUGAAGCUUUACUGUAACUUGAAAUUGAAAUUGGACUUUAUUCGCGCAGUAUAGGUGGGAGGCGUUGAUUAUAAUCUUGUGGGAUUAUUGGAGCCAUCAGUGAGAUACCACUCUUGUAAUGUUAGAUUUCUAACUUUGAAUCAUUAUCUGGUCAAAGAACAGUUUCAGGCGGGCAGUUUGACUGGGGCGGUCGCCUCCUAAACGGUAACGGAGGCGUACAAAGGUUUCCUCUGAACGGUUAGAAAUCGUAUCUAGAGUGUAAAGGCAUAAGGAAGCUUGACUGUGAGACCUACAAGUCGAGCAGGGACGAAAGUCGGUCUUAGUGAUCUGACGGUACUGAGUGGAAAGGCCGUCACUCAACGGAUAAAAGUUACUCUAGGAUAACAGGCUGAUCUCCCCCAAGAGUUCACAUCGACGGGGAGGUUUGGCACCUCGAUGUCGGCUCAUCGCAUCCUGGGGCGGUAGUACGUCCCAAGGGUUGGGCUGUUCGCCCAUGAAAGCGGUACGCGAGCUGGGUUCAGAACGUCGUGAGACAGUUCGGUCCAUAUCCGGUGUAGGCGUUAGAAUAUUGAGAGGAGCCUUCUUUAGUACGAGAGGACCGAGAAGGACAUACCUCUGGUGUACCAGUUAUCGUGCCAACGGUAAACGCUGGGUAGCUAUGUAUGGAGUGGAUAACCGCUGAAAGCAUCUAAGUGGGAAGCCCACCUCAAGAUAAG